rnacentral:snRNA from 1 species
GUACUCGCCUCAGCAGCACAUAUACUAAAAUUGGAAUAAUACAGAGAAGAUUAGCGUGGCCCCUUUAAAAAUCUUUAAUAAAAAGGCCAGCAUGGUGGCUCAUACCU